UACACAACGUGGUGCGCUACCCAUGAUCGCGACGGCUGUGCCUAAAACGUUUGUUGGCCUCUUUGUGUUGACCAGCAUUUACUCAUUAGGAAAACAAAAAUAAACAACACAAGGAAGUGCGCGGUGCUGAGCGGGUUCAUUUAGUGUGCCUCCUUUCAUGCACAGAUAGUACGAUACAGCAGUUUUGAAGUAGUGUAUCAUUUUUUUCCUGCUUUUUUUUCUUUUUUUUUUGGGGGGGGGGGGUUCUUAUGUGGUGCAGAAGCUCAUAUAUUUGAAACAACGGUUAUCUCCGAGUAUUGUGUUUAAAUCUCAAAGGCUACGCUUUUACGGACUGAAAACACAAGUAACCGCUCCGACCUGUUGAAGUCGUAUGCGGAUCCAAUCCGUAUCCAUAGCUUUCGUGUUGCCGGCGGUAAGAGCAUACUGUAAGCGCAUCGUGGGCUCCUACAAAUUUUCGUGUACUGUCGCAAUGCCUGUUUUCGUAGAAUAUGAGAUUCAUGCGACCACUGCGGUAGUCGACCAUAUCCACUGUGCAAUACUUCGGUCCGGUAAACCCGACCGCUCCGUACGAGAUGUGGUGGAACGGCGGUGACGGCACUUGGGAUGGAUACCAGAGCAACCAGAGUGCUGCGCCUGGCUGGCUUAUGUCAGGUCUGGCAUCUGGAUUGGCAAGCAGGCUUCGGGGACGUUGGUCUGGGUCAUGUCUGAUUUGAUGUUCUGGCAUUUGGUGUCCGAUGUUUUGGACAGUAGAUGAGCUGAAAAAAAAAAAACCGAAGCACGACUGGAACUUUGUCCGAAAAGUCUUGGUGAAAGGAAAGGGCAACAUCCUGCCCAGCCUCCACAUCACAGAAGCUGUCGUCCCUUAAAGUUGACACGCAGAUGCCAUUGGCUCAGGAGGACAGCAUCGACUUCGUUAUUGGUCAUCAAAGGACGAUGGAAAGGCCUCUUCGGAGUCUACAUGGGGUCUGCAGUGAGCGA